UUCCCUCUGUCAGUGAGAGGCGGAGGGAGUGAGUGAGAGUCGGGAGCUGUGUGACGCCCCUCGCUCGCGCUCAGCUCCGCUGCAGUGACUCGGCGAAGGCAGGAUCAUUUUAUUACACUUUCCCCUUCAGUCCGCUCAUACACAUUUGACAUCUGACAGCUCCCAGGACGGCCAUGACGUCUCGAAGGUGGUUUCAUCCCAACAUCACUGGGAUCGAGGCAGAACACCUCCUCCUGACACGGGGCGUCCAUGGCAGCUUUCUAGCGAGACCCAGCAAGAGCAACCCUGGAGAUUUCACUCUCUCUGUCAGGAGGAACGAUGAGGUCACCCAUAUUAAAAUCCAGAACUCAGGGGACUAUUACGACCUGUACGGAGGGGAGAAAUUCGCCACGCUGGCUGAAUUGGUCCAGUACUACACAGAGCAGCACGACCUCCUGCGGGAACGCAACGGAGAUGUCAUCGAGCUGAAAUAUCCCCUCAACUGCAAGGACCCCACAUCUGAGAGGUGGUAUCAUGGGCAUCUCUCGGGGAGAGAUGCUGAAAAGCUCCUUACGGAUAAGGGUAAAUCCGGAAGCUUCCUGGUGAGAGAGAGUCAGAGUAAACCGGGAGACUUUGUGCUUUCUGUCCUUACUAAUGAAGAAAAGCAUGAAAAUGUUGACCGCAAGACUAAAGUCACCCAUGUCAUGAUCCGUUAUCAGGAUGGGAAAUAUGAUGUAGGAGGAGGGGAGAGGUUUGACACUUUAGCAGAUUUAGUGGAGCAUUAUAAGAAAAACCCCAUGGUCGAGAAGAGUGGAAUUGUUGUGCACCUUAAACAGCCAUUUAAUGCCACAAGGAUAAAUGCAGCAAACAUUGAAAACCGGGUACGGGAAUUAAAUAAAGUAGCUGACAACUCAGAGAAACCCAAGCAAGGCUUCUGGGAAGAAUUUGAGGUUUUACAGCAGCAAGAAUGUAAACUUCUUUACCCCAGGAAAGAGGGGCAGAGACCAGAAAAUAAAAACAAGAACAGAUAUAAGAACAUACUACCAUUUGACACCACUCGAGUACAGAUCAAGGAGGUGGAUUCUGAUGCGCCAGGUUUCGAUUACAUCAACGCUAACUAUAUCCGAAGCAUGAAUGAAGAAGGUUGUCAUAUGGAUGAAGGUAAAGUGUUCAUCGCCACUCAGGGUUGCCUUCAGAACACCGUCCUAGACUUCUGGAAAAUGGUGUAUCAGGAAAACACUCAUGUUAUUGUCAUGACAACCAAGGAGAUGGAGAGAGGACGGAAUAAGUGUGUGCGGUACUGGCCGGACUUAAAUUCAACAAAGGAGUUUGGGAAGGUGUCUGUGAAGAACAUUGAGGAACACACAGCUCAGGACUACAUACGGCGAGAGCUUGAAGUCACACGUCUAGACAGGAGAGAGCCUCCCAGGUGUAUCUGGCACUAUCAGUACCUGAGCUGGCCUGAUCAUGGUGUUCCUAAUGAACCAGGAGGAGUCUUGAGCUUCCUGGAGCAAGUGAACAGAACCCAGAGCGCCAUUCCAGAGAGUGGACCGAUAGUGGUUCACUGCAGUGCAGGGAUUGGAAGAACAGGCACAAUUAUUGUGAUUGACAUCCUUAUCGACAUCAUAAACAGACAAGGUUUGGACUGUGACAUUGACAUCCCAAAGACCAUUCAGAGAGUGCGCCAGCAACGAUCCGGUAUGGUUCAGACCGAGGCCCAGUACAAGUUUAUCUACAUGGCUGUUCAGCAAUACAUUGACACCGCUCAGAAGAGACUGGAAGAGGAGCAGAGGAAUAAAACGAAGGAGAGAGAAUACUCUAACAUCAAGUACCCACAGAUGACAAAUGCCAGAGCCAAGCCAAACAUGAGCUCGUCUCGCUCUUCAUCUGUAAUGAACGAUGACUCCAGCGUGUAUGAGAAUUUGAAUAUCAAAAAUCCAAAGGGCUCCACCAGCAGUAACACCAGGAGAUAAGCCAUGUGGGCUGCUGUCUCAGGGAUUCUGGGAGUAUGUUUUUCCACCCUCGCUCUCACAGUGUUACACAUUGCUGCAGGCAACCAGUGGGGGCAGCAGUUGUGUCUUUGUUGCAGCCUACCAGAAUAAAAAGUAUAAUCUUACAGAAUGGCACUGUUUGCCACAUGGCCUUGAAAUUAGCACCAUACUUCAAAGAAUAAUCACAACUGAUGAUUUCAAAGUUCCAGCAGAGGUGUGUAGAAGCACCUGAUCACACAACGACACUGGAUAAUGGCAUUGGAGGGGGGAAAAGCAGCACCUACACUGAGGUGACGCCGCUCAGCUGGAGAUUCCACCGAGAUCUCCAACGGCUCCUCUCUUCAUUUCCUGACUGACUACGUCUGAGAAACUCACACUCCAAAACCAAGUGCCUGAUUAGCAGCCGAAAUCGUUCCCGCAAAGGACGUGUGACUUGGUGCUUUCGCUCCCCCCUUCUAAUCUAACAAGCCUACACUGCACUAAGCUACAUGAUAGUUUGUAUAUGUGUGAAAUAUAUUUGAAAAAUGAAUAUUUACACUCAGUGACAUAACUUUGGAUGAAGCUACGCUCGUUCCAUGCUGUCUACGGCUGUUUCCAGACCUUGCUUUGUCUACUGGAUGUCGUCUACUGUAACCAAAGAACUCUGAUAUAUAUCUCUCAGUUUCUCACAAGCAGUGGUCAUUUGCGCUCUGCUGAGUGAUACUCGCGGCACGGUGAUGUAAGAAGAAAAGUACACCGCCCGGGCCUCAAGAAUCCCCCUUUUCUUUUCAGAGGAUAUGAGAGGUGAUUGGUCAAAGUUCGACCAAUGAAUUGGAUACUCUAUGUAAGUAGGUGUUUUAAACGGACUGAUUUGGUACAGUGUGGUUGAAUCUAUACAGUAUGUGCCAAUUAGCAGCCUGUACAUCAUAUUUGUGAAAGCUUCUGCUUUGAUGCUGUUUUUAUUGAGCGUUACCUCCAGGCUAAUGAACAGUCGGAGGGAGACAAGUGCUACUGUCAAUCAAAGGCUUAUCAACCAAUCAGGCUGCCUCUUCCUCAGCGGGCUCCUCCCUCUAGGCAUAGACUUUCUUGUUCUGAAAACAUCAGGUGAGCCUUUAUUAGAUUAGUUUUUUGUCGUUUUAUUUGCAACUAUGAUUCCUUUAGAGCAGUUUUAUCUUUUGUUGUGAUAUUUGUGAAUGUGAUCAUGAAAUCUAGGCCUGGCAUUUUUGAAUAUAAUGCAUUUCUCUUAUUUUUUUUGACUGUAUUAUUCCACAUUUUCCUCAGAGGAGACACAUUAAGCUCUUUUAUCACAUAUAAACAGGGUAUGUGUGUUUUUCGGUGUUAUAAAUAGCCCGAUAAAGCUCUUUACUUCAUAGUGGGUUGUGAUUGCACUGAGGAGGCCUUUGAAUGAAAUAACGUAAAAUGAAAAGCGUGGUAUUACUAAAGAUCUACAAAGGAGGGGGCACAUCAGGAUGUCGGCCGAGCCGUUGACGUGAACGGGAUUUCGGUGGAGACUUCAGCUAAAAAUGAGGCAGGCCAGAUGGCCCUCAGCUAAGAUUAAAGAAUAGAUUUGUGUAGGACGAAAAAAGUAAUUUAAAAGAUGGCUCUAAUCCAGACUAUUAUUGGGUGAGGUCAGCGGUGAUGUCAUAAGAUGUUAUAAUUACUGUACCGUUCAAAAGUUUAAGGUCAGUAUGAUUUUUUUAUUAGGGCACGAGCAUCGAUAGUGCGAGGACCUUAUUGGAAAUGCUCUGUUUAUUUUAUUUUUUAAGAAAUGAAUACUCUUCAGCAAGGAUGCAUUAAAUUGAUCAAAAGUGACAGUAAAGACAUUUACAAUAUUACAAAAGUUUUCUAUUUCAAAUAUUCUGUUAUAAUAAUUUAUAUAUUAUAUAAAUUUAUAUUUGUCAAAGAUUCCUGAAAAAAAAUCCGUUUCCACAAAAGCACAAACAUUUUCAACAUUGAUAGUAAUCUUUCUUAAGAAUCAAAUCAGCAUAUUAGAAUGAUUUUUGAAGGAUCAUGUGACACUGAAGACUGGAGUAAUGAUGCUGAAAAUUCAUCACAGAAAUAAAUUACAUUUUAAAAUAUAUUAAAAUAGAAAAGAUUUAUUUGAAAUUGUAAUAAUAUUUCAUAAUAAUACUGUUUUGAUUGUGUUUUUGAUCAUAUAAUUGCAGCUUUGGUUGGCAUAAGAGACUUCUAAAAACAACAACAAAAAAAAUGAGUGUACAUGUUGGCUUAAAUAAAACAGGACAUGUAUGUGAUUAAUCACAGCGUCUGACUGUGAAAGUGCCGUUGGUUUUGGUCACAUGAGGGGAUCUGUGAUGUCAUGAGCUGAAGAGAUGCCGUACGUGUUUGAGGGAGGCCAGGGUCUGCUUUUUUGCACUUGGAAGGAUUAGAUGUUUGUAUUUUUUACUAGAAAACCAGUUUGUUAGACCUUCUGGGAAGUAAAAGCAAUGUCACUGCGUAUGAUAAUCAUUGUCCUUGGAAUGACUGACAGAUUUGAAUGAAUUUUAAUUGUGAUUUCUGUACCUGAUCAUGUGAGAGCAAUGUGCUACUGGCAUCUGAAAGCUUGGAAGCUGUUUGUUUGCUGUUAAAAUUUGUUUUAUUUUUGCCUCUGUGAAAAUGGGUAAAAGGUCAAAAAUUGAGUGACGUAUUAAGACUUGAACUGCUGAAAGGUAUAGUGUCCAUGGCUGCCAGAAUGUCCUUUUGUUCUGAGUUAUAUAUAAUGAAUAUAUAUUUUUUUUUUGUCUUAUCUGUCGAUUUGACAUCAGUGUAGUGUUUUGCGUUAUAGAUCUUUUCUUUUUUUGGUCAGUUAUUGAUUUGUUGUAAAUUAUACAUUUCACUUGUUUGUUAAUACAGUGAUGGAAAUAUUCACAGCUGUUUAGCAUAUUGUUUUAGUAUGAUUUGUUAACAUUUAUUAUUAUUAUUAUACAAAACAUCAACAGUUAUAAAACUAUCUGCUCGCUUUAUCAUAAUUUUGAAGUCUUCUCUUUAAAUUUACUUGAAUACUAUGUUGGUGGGUGUUUUUAAUCUCAGUUGGUGAUCAAUAGGUUUGAUCUGAAUCGUCUUGUGCUGACUGUCCUUGUGUGGUAAAGACUGUGUUCCCUCUUGCACUGGUUAAGCCUAAAAUGCCUUCUGCCCUGGAAAAUACAGCUGAUGUAAUGACUUGCGUCUCAAAUGAGAAUUCAGGAUUAGAUAUUGAAUAAUAAAGCAUACACUGGGAACUUUCAA